UACGAGGGGGGCAAAUGUUGUUCGGAAUCACUGGGCGUAAAGGGAGCGUAGGCGGGCUUCUAAGUUAGGUGUUUAAUCCCGGGGCCCAACCCCAGUCAGGCACCUAAAACUGGGAGUCUUGAAUAGUGGAGAGGUCAGUGGAAUUGGGGGUGUAGCGGUGGAAUGCGUAGAGAUCCCCAAGAACACCAGUUGCGAAGGCGGCUGACUGGACACAUAUUGACGCUGAGGCUCGAAAGCAUGGGGAGCAAACAGG
rnacentral:rRNA from 1 species